rnacentral:rRNA from 1 species
ACCGGGGGAACUGAAACAUCUAAGUACCCCGAGGAAAAGAAAUCAACCGAGAUUCCCCCAGUAGCGGCGAGCGAACGGGGAGGAGCCCAGAGCCUGAAUCAGUGUGUGUGUUAGUGGAAGCGUCUGGAAAGGCGCGCGAUACAGGGUGACAGCCCCGUACACAAAAAUGCACAUACUGUGAGCUCGAUGAGUAGGGCGGGACACGUGGUAUCCUGUCUGAAUAUGGGGGGACCAUCCUCCAAGGCUAAAUACUCCUGACUGACCGAUAGUGAACCAGUACCGUGAGGGAAAGGCGAAAAGAACCCCGGCGAGGGGAGUGAAAAAGAACCUGAAACCGUGUACGUACAAGCAGUGGGAGCCUCUUAAUGGGGUGACUGCGUACCUUUUGUAUAAUGGGUCAGCGACUUAUAUUCUGUAGCAAGGUUAACCGAAUAGGGGAGCCGAAGGGAAACCGAGUCUUAACUGGGCGUUAAGUUGCAGGGUAUAGACCCGAAACCCGGUGAUCUAGCCAUGGGCAGGUUGAAGGUUGGGUAACACUAACUGGAGGACCGAACCGACUAAUGUUGAAAAAUUAGCGGAUGACUUGUGGCUGGGGGUGAAAGGCCAAUCAAACCGGGAGAUAGCUGGUUCUCCCCGAAAGCUAUUUAGGUAGCGCCUCGUGAAUUCAUCUCCGGGGGUAGAGCACUGUUUCGGCAAGGGGGUCAUCCCGACUUACCAACCCGAUGCAAACUGCGAAUACCGGAGAAUGUUAUCACGGGAGACACACGGCGGGUGCUAACGUCCGUCGUGAAGAGGGAAACAACCCAGACCGCCAGCUAAGGUCCCAAAGUCAUGGUUAAGUGGGAAACGAUGUGGGAAGGCCCAGACAGCCAGGAUGUUGGCUUAGAAGCAGCCAUCAUUUAAAGAAAGCGUAAUAGCUCACUGGUCGAGUCGGCCUGCGCGGAAGAUGUAACGGGGCUAAACCAUGCACCGAAGCUGCGGCAGCGACACUAUGUGUUGUUGGGUAGGGGAGCGUUCUGUAAGCCUGUGAAGGUGGCCUGUGAGGGUUGCUGGAGGUAUCAGAAGUGCGAAUGCUGACAUAAGUAACGAUAAAGCGGGUGAAAAGCCCGCUCGCCGGAAGACCAAGGGUUCCUGUCCAACGUUAAUCGGGGCAGGGUGAGUCGACCCCUAAGGCGAGGCCGAAAGGCGUAGUCGAUGGGAAACAGGUUAAUAUUCCUGUACUUGGUGUUACUGCGAAGGGGGGACGGAGAAGGCUAUGUUGGCCGGGCGACGGUUGUCCCGGUUUAAGCGUGUAGGCUGGUUUUCCAGGCAAAUCCGGAAAACCAAGGCUGAGGCGUGAUGACGAGGCACUACGGUGCUGAAGCGACAAAUGCCCUGCUUCCAGGAAAAGCCUCUAAGCAUCAGGUAACAUCAAAUCGUACCCCAAACCGACACAGGUGGUCAGGUAGAGAAUACCAAGGCGCUUGAGAGAAUCGGGUGAAGGAACUAGGCAAAAUGGUGCCGUAACUUCGGGAGAAGGCACGCUGAUAUGUAGGUGAAGCGACUUGCUCGUGGAGCUGAAAUCAGUCGAAGAUACCAGCUGGCUGCAACUGUUUAUUAAAAACACAGCACUGUGCAAACACGAAAGUGGACGUAUACGGUGUGACGCCUGCCCGGUGCCGGAAGGUUAAUUGAUGGGGUUAGCGGCAACGCGAAGCUCUUGAUCGAAGCCCCGGUAAACGGCGGCCGUAACUAUAACGGUCCUAAGGUAGCGAAAUUCCUUGUCGGGUAAGUUCCGACCUGCACGAAUGGCGUAAUGAUGGCCAGGCUGUCUCCACCCGAGACUCAGUGAAAUUGAACUCGCUGUGAAGAUGCAGUGUACCCGCGGCAAGACGGAAAGACCCCGUGAACCUUUACUAUAGCUUGACACUGAACAUUGAGCCUUGAUGUGUAGGAUAGGUGGGAGGCUUUGAAGUGUGGACGCCAGUCUGCAUGGAGCCGACCUUGAAAUACCACCCUUUAAUGUUUGAGUUCUAACGUUGGCCCGUAAUCCGGGUUGCGGACAGUGUCUGGUGGGUAGUUUGACUGGGGCGGUCUCCUCCUAAAGAGUAACGGAGGAGCACGAAGGUUGGCUAAUCCUGGUCGGACAUCAGGAGGUUAGUGCAAUGGCAUAAGCCAGCUUGACUGCGAGCGUGACGGCGCGAGCAGGUGCGAAAGCAGGUCAUAGUGAUCCGGUGGUUCUGAAUGGAAGGGCCAUCGCUCAACGGAUAAAAGG